rnacentral:lncRNA from 1 species
GAGAACUCUGGAUAGCUAGGAUGCUGGACCUCACGCUGAGGUCCCACUUCUGCGGCACCAAAGGAGAAGUCUGGGUCUGAAAGCAAAGCCAGUUCCUGCCCUGCUAAUCCUGACUUGAGAUGUUGAGAAGGACCCAGGCCAGACAGUGCAGAAUUCCUCUGACAAUUGGAAACUGCAACUGGUUACAAAGCUGACUGUGGGAGACUGGAAUGCACUAGAGCUUCAUUGGUGGAUGGGGGCGUUCCAUCGGAGAAGCCUGUCUUCCUGCCCGGGGAGCCAGGGUGAAGACAACAUAGGGUAGGCUUGUGUUGAGGACCUGCUGAAUAGUUUGUGUGACAUCAGAGCCUUGUCUUCCUGCUGGUGUGUGGUCUUUAUAGGCCUUGCUGUAGAGCAGGGGUCGGCAAAAUAUGGCCGAAGUCCUGUUUUGUACUCCCCAUUAGCUGAGAGUGACUUUCACAUUUUCAAAGGGUUCUAAAAACAAAGAACGUGUGACAGGAAGUGAAUGUGGCUUGCAGUUGGC